rnacentral:rRNA from 1 species
UGGGGAAUAUUGCACAAUGGGCGCAAGCCUGAUGCAGCCAUGCCGCGUGUAUGAAGAAGGCCUUCGGGUUGUAAAGUACUUUCAGCGGGGAGGAAGGGAGUAAAGUUAAUACCUUUGCUCAUUGACGUUACCCGCAGAAGAAGCACCGGCUAACUCCGUGCCAGCAGCCGCGGUAAUACGGAGGGUGCAAGCGUUAAUCGGAAUUACUGGGCGUAAAGCGCACGCAGGCGGUUUGUUAAGUCAGAUGUGAAAUCACCGGGCUAAACCUGGGAACUGCAUCUGAGACUGGAAAGCUUGAGUAUCGUAGAGGGGGGUAGAAUUCCAGGUGUAGCGGUGAAAUGCGUAGAGAUCUGGAGGAAUACCGGUGGCGAAGGCGGCCCCCUGGACGAAGACUGACGCUCAGGUGCGAAAGCGUGGGGAGCAAACAGG